GACGAACGCUGGCGGCGUGCUUAACACAUGCAAGUCGAACGGAAAGGCCCUGCUUUUGUGGGGUGCUCGAGUGGCGAACGGGUGAGUAACACGUGAGUAACCUGCCCUUGACUUUGGGAUAACUUCAGGAAACUGGGGCUAAUACCGGAUAGGAGCUCCUGCUUCAUGGUGGGGGUUGGAAAGUUUCGGCGGUUGGGGAUGGACUCGCGGCUUAUCAGCUUGUUGGUGGGGUAGUGGCUUACCAAGGCUUUGACGGGUAGCCGGCCUGAGAGGGUGACCGGCCACAUUGGGACUGAGAUACGGCCCAGACUCCUACGGGAGGCAGCAGUGGGGAAUAUUGCACAAUGGGCGGAAGCCUGAUGCAGCAACGCCGCGUGCGGGAUGACGGCCUUCGGGUUGUAAACCGCUUUCGCCUGUGACGAAGCGUGAGUGACGGUAAUGGGUAAAGAAGCACCGGCUAACUACGU
rnacentral:rRNA from 1 species